CUACUUGGAUCAUGCUAGGCCUGGCCACUUCCCAGUGAAGCCAGUGGGAUGUGAAUGUAGCCAACUGACCUUGAUUGUGAACUGAAAAACAAGCAUUUCUCUUAAGUAACCUCUCAGGUAUUUAAAGAAUUUCUCAAACGCGACUACGAGAUAUACCAAAUCCUCUUCAUAUGUGAGGGGAAAAAGAAAAGUUCCUGUUAGCCCAGCAACAGUAGGAACAUGGACUAUUGUGAUGUGUUGUGGUCUGAACUUCAGAGCGGGAAGGAAGACCGGACCCAAAAAGUUUCUCAGAUUCGUCGGCUCAUAUUCAGGAAGCUUUUGCUAGUGAACUGUAGUAGGAAAGUUGCUUCAUAUACGAAGACUGUCACAUUAAAUAAUAGGAUGCAAACACUAGAAGUGGUGUUUUCUAACCAAUGGAGAGGAAAUCGUUGCUGUGGACCAUGAUGAAGUUUGGAAGGGGUGUGACAGCGUGGCUUUCUGGCAGGCUCGUUAACAGAACCCCCUUUUUCACUUUGUAAAAUAAGACUUUGCCCAAAGAUGACCUAGGACCUUCUCUUUGCAGACUGUAUACAAGUUAAGUGUAAUCUUUAAUUGCUGGUUUCAAUAGGCCUUGGCUGGAGAGGGGUGCUCUCAUCAUGUUACAUGUAUAAUGUGCCCACUUCACACAAGUGAUAAGCGGACUGUUAUGGCACAUGGAGAAAUCCUUGGAGGGGUUCAAUCCCCGGACAAUACAGCUGAUGCUGUGGAGGUGACGGGGAAGUAAACAGGUUCAUGCGAGUCAUUUAGUUUCCCUAAUCUCCUCCACUCAUGCCUACUGGUGGUGUAGUAGUGUGUGCUAUGUGAAUGGGAAUAUUUUCUUAGCUGUAUCAGUGCUCUCAUGAUAGACACUUGAUGAGCUUAAAUAAAAUAUAUUAGUGGAUUUUCA
rnacentral:lncRNA from 1 species